rnacentral:lncRNA from 1 species
CAGCAGAAAAUGAGAGGGGGACGGGAACUUGUCCAAUGCGAAGCGCGAAAGUCCGCGGCCAUAACUUCGGCGGCUUUCUCGUGUCGCUUCGUUUUUCUUCUUGUCUCAUCGCUACUCUUUGUGCGGGGUCGUGAGACUGAAGGAGCUUCUGCGUCGGAGGCAAAAUGGCACGGACCGCUUCUUGUCCGCAAGGCCCCCAGUGCCGCGAGCAUGUCCGCGUUACGGGACUCUCCAGUUCUCCGGGGAAACGUUUCCGAGCAGCCGUGGCUCUGCAGAGGGGCAGAGCAGUUUGUGCAGACCUACUGCGGACCGUGUGUUGCAGACUCUCAGUGCGCUCCCGGCGCAUUUUGUUGCCCGUAUUUAAAAGUUUGUGUCUCUUCACAAACGGAUCGUUGCUCCAAACCGUUUGCACGCUGUGAUCCCCCACUUCCCGCGUCGAAACCUGAAGAUGUCGACUUCGAUGUUUGGCGGAAACAGUGCCCAUUUGCAGAGUUGGAGACUUGGGUCACCUGCCCACCUCCAGGAUGGGUGCUCGGGGAUGACCUAACUGGAGAAAAACCAGAGAAACCAACGCCACAGCCACCGGGGGACCGCGAACUGCAUCAACCGUAAAAAGAAGUAGCCACUAGGAACUCGACAAGCAUUCGUAGCUCUGCGACCUCGGAGAACCAGCGGACGACGCUCGACUGAACGUGUCAGGGACGCGACGUUUGAGAGUCACAAGAAGAAAAUUCGCUGGUUUCGGCCAAUUUUCUUUUUCAAACACAACCCAGUGUGACUUUCUGCAUCUGCUCUGACGCGUGGAGACACUUUGGUUUUUCAGAUUCUGUCCUCGCCACUGUGGAGCACUGGGGGGCGAGUGUCACUGCUCUGCUGCCGAGAAAAGCCUCGAUUCCGUUCGAUCCGCGAGUUUUGUUUCUCCACCGUUUGCGUUUUCGUAGCAGAUGUACCUCCGUGGCAUCCAGUGACCCGAAUGCAUUGUUGCCCCUCCCAGUGUGCAUUCCGCGCUUUCCUUCGAGCUCAUUUAUACACAGACAAACGGAAUUUACAGUGUAAUCUGGAAUUACGCCUGCGUAGACUUCCGACUCUCGGUGGUGCAACACGAAAGGUUUCGUCUCGUGCGUUUCUGCUCUAAGCUACAGAGUUAGAUUCAUCGUGGCUUUUCUGCGAGUUUUGUUACGCGGCCUUUCUCCCAAUGCGACCCGCCUCCUCUUUUCUCCGUUUCGUCC